GACAAACCUCCAUGUCCUCUAUGCGCCGCCGCCACUUCUCCAUCUCCUCCUCGCACUCCGAGCCCGCCCCAAGCAGCUCCUCCCACCGAAUCUUCAGUCGCCACCCUCCAGCGUCUGGAUCUAGAUAGUUGGAUCCAGAUCUGAUGGCGUGUUGUGUCCCCGCACAAGAGAAGCGCUCCUGCUCUAACUCUACCUACCGCGAACCCCGAGCGCCCAAUCUCUGCAUGCACAUCCACCCGUGUGCCCUGUCGUCCGACCAUCGGUGAAUCACCACCGAUAAGGAACCUCCAUGGCUGCCGAGCUUUCACCCCCGAGCCUCUGUGACGCACUGCAGGAGACGCCGAUGUGCCGCCACCCAACCUGCCACCGCCAGAUCUCCUCACUCAGCCACCAGAUCUGAGCCCCGUCGUCGUCCCCGUGUCACCUCCAAGUUACCGCUGUCAUGCUCGAAUUUCUCAUGUGGCACGCGUCCCUCCUCGCUGCAGCCGCGCGUUGAACCAACCACGCCGGUUGUCGCUUCGCUAGCCCAGCUUGUCAGGCUGCCUCUAUCAGCCUCCUCCACCAAUUUGGUUCAUGGUCCACGAGAGAUCAAGGAGCCCCUGCAUCAUCCCCGCCGCCGUCACCGACCCCCUCCGAC